AUACUUACCUGGACGGGGUCGAUGGGUGAUCAGAAAGGCUCAUGGCCUAAGCAAGCGGCCUCCAUUGCACUGAGGAGGGGCGCUUGCCUAAGGUCUCCCCUAGUGGGAGAGCCUACGUCAUAAUUUGUGGUAGUGGGGGCCUGCGUACGCGCGGCCCCUGU
rfam:Theobroma cacao cultivar Matina 1-6 chromosome 5, whole genome shotgun sequence.